CAGGCUCGGUCCUUGCCGGGCAAUCUGAAUAUCGAGGCUGCUCGUUAAUCUCCAUUCCUGGCUUAGGCUGGGCUGGGCUGCUCCGGCAGCAGGCUGGGUUGCCGUAGGAACCAGGAAUUCAAGUAAAUAUGCUCAGGAAGGAGAAAUGUCUACUAAUUAAAUGCUGAUCAGAGGCGCAGACCUGCAAUGGCAUCUCCUGGAGCACUGGAUCUGCACUGUCUCACUGAGUGGCAAACUCCCCACAUUCAGCACCCAACCCAAACAAUGGAAUUGAAAAACAAAGAAAGAAGAAAAGGAGGCUGGUGGCUGCAGGAAUUGAGUCAGGAGGUCUGGGACCCUCCCGGAUACCACUUUUUAUGAAGCACUACAUGAGUUGCUGAUGGAUAAAUCACCCAAGCAUGGUUAAAGAGACCCUAAUCUCCAGAUGGUACCAGAUCCAUUUAAUUGUAUCCUCUGACCUCAUCUCACCUGAGCCUGCAUUAAAAUCAUAAUACAGUUCAAGUGUAAAAAUGA